rnacentral:lncRNA from 1 species
AUAACUAAAUCGUAGCCUCCCAUUAAGUGAGUGAUAAUGAGUCUAUUAGUUUAAUAAUCAUUGGAGGCCUAAAGGCCUGGUGCUUAUUGACUAAUGGAAUUAUCAUUCAUAAUAUGAUAAUUUGGUUUGAGUCUUUCUGAUGGUGGUCAGGUUGGCCGGCCAAAGUCGGGCCUGAUCAUUUAUUGAUCCGAUUCACCAAAUCAAAUCAUGUUAAUGGUUGGACCUAACCAGAUCUUUUCAGUGGAGGCCAAAGCCUACUGAUUAGGUUCAGAGGUAAAAUCAAUUAUUAGAAGUUGUUUAGAGAAACAACUGGUUAUGAACCUACCCAUAGAUGCACAUGGGUUGACCAACCAAAGUUGGGCUCGUGUGUAGUCUGUGUGGAUUCUAGUAUCCACUAAGAAAUUAAAGUAAUUCCUCGAAUUGGAGGUUGAGGCUACCAAUUCGUAAAAAUA